GCGGCGGCUCAUCAGCGGUCUGCCGAGGCUCUUCCGCUCGUAGACGAGAACGCUACUGUGAGCCAGCGGUCACCGUCUCACUGCUCUCUGGUCGGUGUGGUCAUCGACGGUGGGCGAACGCUUCCUCGCCCGUGAAAGGCCCAGGCGUGAGUCUUUUCUCUCUUUAUUUUUUGUUUUCUACUCUUGUGCUCCGGAGUGGAAGCGCGGCUACACACACCCACACAACGGCACGAACGCACGAACGCCCUGCGAAGUGCAGGCCGGGGGGACAUGAGUGCAACAGCGCCGAUACAAUACACCGUCCCUUCCUCCUUGUUUUUUCUUUCUAAGAUCCACCAUGAGCUGCGUCGCCUCCGCCUUUGAUUCCUUCCGCUGCGCGUAUCGUGGUGUCAACGAUUCUGUCAACGACGUCGACGUCGACCCGAGCGGUGGCUGCCUCUAUGCGGCGUGCAGUAGUGGGGAUGUCUGCGUGUGGAACAUUCAAACGCAGAAGCUGCGGGUGCGACUACGCCAUCCACAGUGGGUGAAUGCUGUUCGAUGCUUUCCGAUGUGCAACUCGGCCGCCUCGAGCGCGACGUCGCUGCAGCCUCCGCCGGCGGCGAACCCAGCAGCAGCGGCAGCCGGCAGGGCAGACUGUGAUGCCCUUAACGCUGACCUCGUCGUCAGCCACGAUAUACGCUGGGUGCUGACCGGCACCGAGGACGGCGUGAUUGCUGUCUGGUGCCCAGUGACGUAUCGCAUGCAGAGCAUAUGCAGGCCUGGCCGCGCUGCCAUCACAGCCCUGCAGCUCAUCCCUGAAACGUCGCCAUGCGCUGCGGAAAAGGCGAACGCAUCGAAGAUGGAGCACUGCACGACUGGUGCGCGAUUCAGGCGAGCAUCUACGAAAGUCAACGAUGGGCCUGCCAUCUGCUGCGCGGCCUCUCUGCGUGACGUAUACGUGCUCCGCGUCACGACCGCUUCGUCGGAACUCGCGCUGCUGUAUGCGUUCCAGCACCAGGGUCUUAUCACGGCCCUCACCUAUGUUGCCCCUUCUAUGUCUCUCUCGACGCCGCUGCUUGUAGUGGGGCAAGAGGAGGGCACUCUUUGCGUGUGGAACUGCGCCACAUGGGCUUAUCACGACACGAUGCCUUAUCCCACAGGCGAGGCCGACGUGACAGCCGACGCACGCGAUGAUCCUACGUCGGUGCAUGAGCCGGUGUACCGGCUCGGUCGUGUGUUCAAGACGUUUCUCUACAAUCGCAGGCGGUGCAAUCCAUUGAGCGAUCAGGCAGCCGUCGAGGAGGAGGCAGCUGCGGCAGCGCCAGUGGAUUCGCCGGACUACAUUGGAGUGGUGCCAGCCUCGGUGUCAGCGGAAGCCAUUGAUGUGCUGGAAAGAAAAUGCGGCAUCCUUCCGUACAGCGCAAAACAGGCGUUUGUAGAGCAGCAGCAGCAGCAGCAGGAACCGGAUGAUACGCGGUUCCCUGCUGCGCUGAGAGUCUGGAGGUACGACAAGCGCCGCGUUACAUGCCUGGCAGCGAGCCCCAAUCCCACAAGCAGCAAUCCAAACUCGUACCUCUACUCGGGUCACGCAACAGGGGAGGUGCUACUCUGGGGAUCAGUCCGGCAAGAAAUGCCUUUGCUGCUCUUACUCAAAAAAAUUAUUCUCUUCAAGCCAGGUGUGUGGGUUUGGAAUCUGUGUGCCGUAGCCACGCUGCACACCAGUGCGUCUCAGCCAUUCGAGCAGAGGCGCGGUGCCAAGGCUGCCGCUAAAUUGCUAUCGCGACUGGAAAAAAAUAAAGCGAACGAAGGAGCGAGGAGGAAGGCGGCGACGCCGACACCCACUCGCCACGCGCGUGCAGGGGCGCCCUCUCCGCUCGAGACGACGCAUGUGUCACCUCUUGAGCUGAUUGUCUGGUCGGACGGCGGGGCGGUGGAGUACGUCAGUACCCGCAAGCGUCACGUGCUGCAUCGCCAAGGUCCCGGUUUCGUCUGUGCGGCGGCUUGUGCCUGGAGUGGUCCGACGAUUACGCCCCUGCCAGCAGCUGAGCCGGUGAACACGUUCGACAAUGGCCGCGCCGGCGCUGCCACGUCGUCAACUGAGGCGGCCUCUAAGCGGAGCGGUGGUGCUGCUCGAGGGAGCAGAUCCGCCAGCGCUUUUUCGGCACGCCAGUAUCUCGUGAUGGCCGGAUUUGACGGCAGGUUGGAGCGGUAUGACGUUACCGAGGUGCUUGAGCUGGUAAAGAGUUCUGGCAAACUGGUUUGAUAGCGCGGAGGAGGGCAGCUCGAAGCGGAGCCGGACUAACGCGUGGGUACUGCUGCUGGUUGGUGGUGGUAGGGAUGGAGAAAGAGAAGUGAGGGCAUCGAGCUCCCCGCUUCCCUUCUCUCUCUUUCUCUCACGGGGCGUCUGCCGUCUGCUCUUCCCUCCACUUGCGCUCUCUCUCACUCUUUGUGCCGCUCUGCGCUGUGAUGUGGAAUAGUGGAACAUCGCCACCGUUCGUGUGCGUCUUUUCGUUUUCGUUUUCUCUUGAAUUUCUUUUUCUUGCACAUCCACAUCGGCUGGCUUC
rnacentral:misc_RNA from 1 species